CUAGAGAUCACUCGGGGUCUUGUUGCAAUGCAGCUUCUGAUUCACCAGGUCUGGGAUGGGGCCUGAGUUUCUGAAUUUCUGACAAGCUCCCAGGUGAUGCUAAU
rnacentral:miRNA from 1 species